UACGAAGGGGGCUAGCGUUGCUCGGAAUCACUGGGCGUAAAGGGUGCGUAGGCGGGUCUUUAAGUCAGGGGUGAAAUCCUGGAGCUCAACUCCAGAACUGCCUUUGAUACUGAGGAUCUUGAGUCCGGAAGAGGUGAGUGGAACUCCGAGUGUAGAGGUGAAAUUCGUAGAUAUUCGGAAGAACACCAGUGGCGAAGGCGGCUCACUGGUCCGGUACUGACGCUGAUGUGCGAAAGCGUGGGGAGCAAACAGG
rnacentral:rRNA from 1 species